UGUGCUGACAAAAAGGUCCUCAGCCUCUUCCACUUCCCUGAAGUCAGUCUGCCCAGCUUCGCCCAUCGGUGGAGGCUCCCUCUCUGCCGCCAUCUUAUUUUAGCAAUAAUAACUGAACGAGAAAACAAUCGGUAGAAGCGAGUCAGGAGACUCCCGAGCUGUCAUGUGAUUCACAGGAACUGCUUGGUCUUGUGACCAACUGAACGUUCACGGAUAUCAUGCUCCCUCUGUACUGGCGCGGCUUGGAAACCUCAGCAUUCGACGCGCAGCGUGAACUUGAACAACCCCAUAUUUUCGGACAAAGAAUAAGACGGCUAUUCUUUUAAUUUGAUGGUGCCCAUGAACUGGACACAGUCAGUGCUUUGCGUGUGGGCUGGGUCACUGGAGCCUAUCCCAGCAUACAUUGGGAGAAAGGCAGGAAUACACCCUGGACAGGACACUCACACACUCAUACCUAUGGGCAAUUUAGACUCUCCAAUCAGCCUAACCUGCAUGUCUUUGGACUGUGGGAGGAAACCGGAGUGCCCGGAGGAAACCCAUCCAGACACGGGGAGAACAUGCAAACUCCGCACAGAGAGGCCCCGGCCGACAGGGAUUCAGUAUCAGUCAUCCCUUGUUCUUGUUAAUUCCAUUGGCCGUCUAUCUGAUGGAACACACCUACAGUACCGUAUAUAGUGUAUUAUAACAGAAAUUUUCAUUUAGUUGUCUGAAAUUAUGUGAGUUUGUUGAAUCCGACGUGACACACUCAUAAGAGCCCUUCGUUCGAAAAAAGAAAUACAUUUAUUUUAUGUAUGAGAAAUUUAUGAUAAAAAUAUGAAAAUGUUCUGUAUGAGGCCCAAUGUUGAUUGAUAUGGUAAUUAUAAAACAUUUUGUUUUGUUCAAUUAAUUAUGCCUUAAUUUGACUUGAUUAGGCCAACAGUAAAUUAUAAUUAAAAUAUAAUCUUCUCAAAUGAUAGUAGCUUCCAAACUGUUUGCUACACCUCUGGAUUUUGUGACAUUUGCAAAAUGAAUAAUUUAACUAAUAAUCAAUAAACAGGUACAAAUAA